rnacentral:rRNA from 1 species
AUACGUAGGUGGCAAGCGUUGUCCGGAUUUACUGGGUGUAAAGGGCGUGUAGGCGGGUGCUUAAGUCAGUGGUGAAAUACCGAAGCUCAACUUCGGGGCUGCCAUUGAAACUGGGCAUCUUGAGUGCAGGAGAGGAAAGCGGAAUUCCUAGUGUAGCGGUGAAAUGCGUAGAUAUUAGGAGGAACACCAGUAGCGAAGGCGGCUUUCUGGACUGUAACUGACACUGAGGCACGAAAGCGUGGGGAGC